rnacentral:rRNA from 1 species
UUAUGGCUCAGGAUGAACGCUGGCGGCGUGCCUAACACAUGCAAGUCGAACGGGGUACUGGCAGCGGAGAUUCGGUCAAAGCAGCCUUUAACCUAGUGGCGGACGGGUGAGUAACGCGUGGGGAACCUGCCCUGUACUGGGGGAUAACAGUGAGAAAUCACUGCUAAUACCGCAUAAGCGCACAGCAUCGCAUGAUGCAGUGUGAAAAAACUGAGGUGGUACAGGAUGGCUCCGCGUUGGAUUAGCCAGUUGGCGGGUAACGGCCCACCAAAGCGACGAUCCAUAGCCGGCCUGAGAGGGUGAACGGCCACAUUGGGACUGAGACACGGCCCAGACUCCUACGGGAGGCAGCAGUGGGGAACAUUGCACAAUGGGGGAAACCCUGAUGCAAGCGACGCCGCGUGAAGGAAGAAGUAUCUCGGUAUGUAAACUUCUAUCAGCAGGGAAGAUGAUGACGGUACCUGACUAAGAAGCCCCGGCUAACUACGUGCCAGCCGCUGC